AGAUUGAACGCUGGCGGCAGGCCUAACACAUGCAAGUCGAACGGAAACAUGUCUAGCUUGCUAGAUGAUGUCGAGUGGCGGACGGGUGAGGAACGCGUAGGAAUUUGCCUAGUAGUGGGGGAUAGCCCAGAGAAAUUUGGAUUAAUACCGCAUACACUCUACGGAGAAAAGCAGGGGAUCUUAGGACCAAGCUCUUGCUAUUAGAUUAGCCUAAGUGAGAUUAGCUAGUUGGUGAGGUAAAGGCUCACCAAGGCGACGAUCUCUAGCUGGUCUGAGAGGAUGAUCAGCCACACUGGGACUGAGACACGGCCCAGACUCCUACGGGAGGCAGCAGUGGGGAAUAUUGGACAAUGGGCAACCCUGAUCCAGCCAUGCCGCGUGUGUGAAGAAGGCCUUAGGGUUGUAAAGCACUUUCAGUAGGGAGGAAAAGUUAGUCGUUAAUAACGGCUAACCCUGACGUUACCUACAGAAGAAGCACCGGCAAACUCCGUGCCAGCAGCCGCGGUAAUACGGAGGGUGCGAGCGUUAAUCGGAAUUACUGGGCGUAAAGCGCGCGUAGGCGGCCUGAUAAGUUGGAUGUGAAAGCCCUGGGCUCAACCUAGGAACUGCAUUCAAAACUGUCAGGCUAGAGUAUGGUAGAGGAUAGUGGAAUUUCCUGUGUAGCGGUGAAAUGCGUAGAUAUAGGAAGGAACACCAGUGGCGAAGGCGACUUACUGGACCAAUACUGACACUGAGGUGCGAAAGCGUGGGGAGCAAACGGGAUUAGAUACCCCGGUAGUCCACGCCGUAAACGAUGUCUACUAGCCGUUGGGAGACUUGAUCUCUUAGUGGCGCAGCUAACGCAAUAAGUAGACCGCCUGGGGAGUACGGCCGCAAGGUUAAAACUCAAAUGAAUUGACGGGGGCCCGCACAAGCGGUGGAGCAUGUUGGUUUAAUUCGAUGCAACGCGAAGAACCUUACCAUCCCUUGACAUCCUGCGAACUUUCUAGAGAUAGAUUGGUGCCUUCGGGAACGCAGUGACAGGUGCUGCAUGGCUGUCGUCAGCUCGUGUCGUGAGAUGUUGGGUUAAGUCCCGUAACGAGCGCAACCCUUGUCCUUAUUUGCCAGCACAUUAUGGUGGGAACUCUAAGGAGACUGCCGGUGACAAACCGGAGGAAGGUGGGGACGACGUCAAGUCAUCAUGGCCCUUACGACCUGGGCUACACACGUGCUACAAUGGAACGCACAGAGGGCUGCAAAGGCGCGAGCUGGAGCGAAUCCCACAAAACGUUUCGUAGUCCGGAUUGGAGUCUGCAACUCGACUCCAUGAAGUCGGAAUCGCUAGUAAUCGUGAAUCAGAAUGUCACGGUGAAUACGUUCCCGGGCCUUGUACACACCGCCCGUCACACCAUGGGAGUGGGUUGCAAAAGAAGUGGGUAGACUAACCUUCGGGAGGUCGCUCACCACUUUGUGAUUCAUGACUGGGGUGAAGUCGUAACACGUAACC
rnacentral:rRNA from 1 species